rnacentral:lncRNA from 1 species
GUCCGGGUUCAAGGAUCUGGCCCCCGCCAUCGAGACGUAUGGGGUCGUCGCCGAGUACAUCUGGUACGUACACAUGAACCUCCCUCCACUCCAAUGUCGCUGCUGUUUGUUUCGUCUGUCACUAUGUUCCUAGAGACCACAACAGUAGCUUCAGGAUAGGGGGCCAAACCUGCAUCUUUUUAUGAUUUCUUUUUAUUAGAUUAGCACGGGAACGAGCAGUGCAGUGAGGAUUUGGCCCCUUAAAGACUUGGUAGGUGAUAAGUGACGUCCAUAUUCUGUAAACGUCUUGGUCCCGGUUCCAACUCAUUGAAUACAUCUUUUUAAUAUGUGAAUAAAUUCACUUUCGGUCUGUUUGCUAACUUGCUAAUUGCCUUCUUACACCCCAUGGCGGAUCUGUGUAUGAAAGUGUGAUUGGCUAUAAACAUGAAAAAAUUACCAAAACAAAUAGUAGACCGUACUUCAUGUGUGCAUUGAGAUGAAGUGUAAGGAUCACGUGAUAUAUAUCAUUUCAUAUAUCAUGUCAGCAAAAACACGCUGUGAUGGUCGCCAUCGGCUGAUGGCGUACAUUCCUUGGCACUGGGAUACCGUAGAGGGGGAGGGCGACGUCGUGAAGGGAAGGGGAGACGACGCUGGAAUGUCGUGGCAUGCUUUGAUGCCAGCAGCGUCAGUUUGGAGAGAAGCUGGGGGUAGAUAUGAGUGUGAGCAUUGCUAUGAAAUGCGAUAUGAUGGUGAGCGUUGUGCCAUGCAAUGAGAGAGUGAAUUGCUUUUUCAAAAAAUAAAAAUAAAAGGAGUGACACUUUUUUUUGGGAAAGUAUUUGAUUGCGAUCAGAGAAAUGUCACAUACUUUUAUAUAGUUGAAAAUAUCAGAUACCCUAACAAGUCAUGUUUAUAAUGGACCAGACCAAAAAAUCAUUGAGUUUUAACAAUCAUAAGAGAUGCAUACAAAUAAUGCUUCUUAAUAUAUUUGUUACACAUGAUAAUACAAAAGGUGUGUUUAUAUAUAUUCUUAAUAUAUUUAUUUAUUUUCAUAUGAGAGAGAUAAAGAUGGAUUAUGUCAACGUUUGAAAAAAAAAACCACCAAACAAGGGUGUAGGGACGAUGCUAUUGAAAGAGGUAAAAAAUUCAUCGAGUUUUGUACAACAAAAGGCCCGUGGCAACGCACGGGCAUUCUACUAUAUAGGCCCGUGGCAACGCACGGGCAUUCUACUAUAUAGAUUGUAUAUGAGUUUUUUUUCUUAUUUUAAUAUAUGUUUAUAUGUUCACCUUUAUAUAUCAAAGACAAAAACUGGUAGCUUAUGAUUGUGCUUUGAAAAUGCUGAUCGGCAAAGUCAUUGACGUAACUAUGAUGGGCUGGCCUAAAAGCAUGAUUUCACAGAAUUGGAAGAAAUGCAUACAAAUAAUUGUUCUUUUUUUAGAGAUGUUGCACAUGCAUACAAAUGAUUGUAUUAAUUUAUUCUAUAGCAACGGAUCCACUGUGGUAGUAGUAGUGGAGGCGGAUAUAGUGUUGUAAAAAUGUUCGACAAUACCGGUUGAUUUGUAUGAGGAUCUGCAAGGACACGACACAUGUUGAACCAUUGAAAUAUUUAAGUCCACUAGAUAAAAGGAUGGACACAUGAGCUCGGGACCUGGUUGUGGGCGCUGAACUCGGAGAAGGUGCGGCGUUGUGGUGAACAGGUUGUGUCGUUGUGGUGGUCACCCUCGGCUAUGAUUGCGUGCAACCCUUGGCAGUGGGAAUUGGCCUGGGAUGCCGUCGAGGGGAGAGGAGGGGCGGGCGACUCCGUGCAGGCUAAAUGAUGUGCCGUUGAGGGGAGGACAGUGAGAGGCCGUUGUGGGCAGAACAGUCCGGGGGGAAGGAGAUGUGAGUGCGAGCGAUAUGUCGUGCUAUUAGAGAAUAAGAGGGCAUAUUGAUUUUUUUUAGAUAAAAAUAGGAGUGGCUGCUUGUUUUUGUAGCGAAAAGCGAUUGCUUGCUACAAAAGGCAUGUCUCAUUUUUUUAUAUAGUUAAAAAUAUCACAAACCCUAACGAGUCAUUUCUGGAGAAUAAUUAUCAACAAAUAAAUUACAGGAAGCACUCAUGUUAUUAAAAUUUUGAUGUGACUCACUCUACUAAAAAGCACAAUGCGACUCACUGUGACUAAAAAUGGUCACCUGCUUAUAUGAAUAUAGAUUGUAUAUGAGUUUUUUUAUUAUUUUAAUAUAUGUUUAUAUGUUCACCUUUAUAUAUCAGAGAUAAAAACUGGUAGCUUCUAAUUAUGCUUUGAAAAUGCUGAUUGGCAAAGUCAUUGGCAUAACUAUGAUGGGCUGGCCUAAAAACAUGAUUUUACAGAAUUGGAAGAAAUGCAUACAAAUAAUUGUUCUUUUUUGAGAGAUGUUGCACAUGACAAUAUAAAAGGUGUAUUUCUAUAUAUGUUUAAUUUUGCAGGUUAUGAGAGAGAUGGAUAUGAAUUAUGUUGACGUUCAAAAAGAAACCAUCGACAAGGGACAAUAUUGAUGAAAGGGGCAAAAAAUUAACAAAAUUUUAAGUAUAUAUGUGCAAUCAGAAAAAAAUUAUUUAAAAGGCCUGUAGCAACUCAUGCAAGGUGCUCUCACGGGUGUAGGUUUGUCCAUCGCCAUUUGACUUUAUAACCGUGCAAGACAGUUGA